UCUUGCCUCGUAGUACAGGCCUCUGUUUAACCAAUUUCUUAAUUUGUGUUUCAUCCAAACAAAGAUUGUAGCUGGAAUUGACAUAUUGUUGCUAUUAAUUCUGGAAAAAAUAUAAAUGAAAAAAUUAAAUGUUUAAAUAUUAAAUUAAUUUAAAACCAAAGUUAGUCUACAGUAGGUAUCUUUCUUAUUUAAAUUUCCAUGCAUCAUUUAAUAAACGUUUUUUUGUUUACUGCAUCCUGCAUCACUCGAGGGGGAGGAAAAAUAAGUGCGCGCAUAGGCGGCAUGUAACUUCCUGUUGCCAUCUUUGUUUACAUUAAUGAACAGCCGCAUCUUGUGAAGCGAGUUAAAUGCAUGGGUGUAAUAUAAGAACGGUUAGGUACACGUCCUUGUCUAAAGAGCGAAAUAUGUUUGCCACAAGAGUGUUUCAGGAGUGCGGAAAUGUCUUUAAAGCGGCGCUGCCUUUCCCGAGCAUCUUGUGCAGGACGAAGUCAUCGACGGUGAAUUUGGGUUGGUGCUCCUUCCUGGGAACAGCGUACAGAGGCUCUUCUGUCGGCGCCUCUUCUGUCAGCGCCUCGGUGAUCGACCUGCCGACGUCAGUCGGUCCAUCCCACGACACACCCUGAUAGUCUUCAGGUGCAGGUGGAGCUGUGGCUGUUACAGCCGUUACUAACCCAGACGGAGCUCGGACCACGCCCGGCUGGCCAACACCUACUGGACCUUCUCGACCAAUGAUUUCACUUUCUCUGGU